GUCAACUACCUCGGCCUAAAGGCCGAGGCUUGAAAAAGCCUCUAGUUGACUAGCCUCAGUCUGUCGUUUUGAGGACUACGUUGGUUGGGAAUGCACAGGCACCGCGGGAUGCAGAUCCUAGUCCCGCGCUCUGC
rnacentral:sRNA from 1 species